rnacentral:rRNA from 1 species
UACGUAGGGCGCAAGCGUUAUCCGGAAUUAUUGGGCGUAAAGAGCUCGUAGGCGGUUUGUCGCGUCUGCCGUGAAAGUCCGGGGCUCAACUCCGGAUCUGCGGUGGGUACGGGCAGACUAGAGUGAUGUAGGGGAGACUGGAAUUCCUGGUGUAGCGGUGAAAUGCGCAGAUAUCAGGAGGAACACCGAUGGCGAAGGCAGGUCUCUGGGCAUUAACUGACGCUGAGGAGCGAAAGCAUGGGGAGCGAACAUGG